rnacentral:misc_RNA from 1 species
AAAUCUUUCUUAGCCUGUUCAGUUUUUCCUUGUUCCUGCAGCCUCAUAUAUUGUUCAUGAGCUUUUUGUUUUUCAAUCUCCUCUCUGCAAACAAAAGCAUUAAAAACAAAGGCAGCAAUAGAACCCCUCUCAUCAAUACUUCAAAACUUGGUUGAAAAGACAUGGUGAAAAUAAAAGUAACAGACCUUAGCAAAUCAACCACAGAACCAUGCUAUUUUAUUUUUAAUAAAGCACAUGCAAAUGAAGAAUUUUUGUGCUUUCAAGAGAUGGAAUUUGGCCAUAACCAAAAUCCUAAACCAACAAAUAAUCAAAGGCAUUCAGCGAGUCCAACAUAAUUAAGGAACUAAAAUUUAAUUGUUUAAGUCUCUGCAAAAUCAAAAAAGAAGGCAAGAUUUGGAUAACUGUGUUACCUCUAUUUGAAGGAUAAAAGCAUAUUGCAACAAAUUGCAAAUAUGUUUUGAAACAAAUACAGGUGUUUUGUUACCACCCACUAUUUACAUGUUACAAUCUAUUAUGGGUUCUUCAUCAUGGUUUCUCAAAAAAAAAGCCUUGAAACAAAUAUCUAAUUUCAUCAACACUCUGCAUAUUUAGCUGUUGAUUUAUUAAUAUAAAUUUUCUUUGUUAAUUUUCUCUAUCAAUUCAUUGAUGAAUGAAUUAGUGAAACCCUCCUCAAUUUGCCAUCUGGGAUUAUACCAACCAAAGAUUUUUACAUGGUUUAAAAGAGUCAUCCACAGGCAUGACUUGACACAACAAGGACUGACUCAGUCCUUUCUCUUCUUCAGCGCUAUGUAUAAUUCAGUGUUGGAAUCUCAAUCUCUACAUUAAAGAGAUUAUUAUUUCUUUCUCCUUAUUUAUAUCUUGUUUCCUAUUUGUAUU